rnacentral:rRNA from 1 species
AGAACGAACGCUGGCGGCAUGCCUAACACAUGCAAGUCGAACGCGGGGAGCAAUCUCUGCGUGGCGCACGGGUGAGUAACGCGUGGGAACCUGCCCUCGAGUGGGGGAUAACCCGGCGAAAGCCGGGGUAAUACCGCAUACGUCCCGUCGCAAGACGGGAGAAAGAUUUAUCGCUCGAGGAGGGGCCCGCGUCGGAUUAGCUAGUUGGUGAGGUAACGGCUCACCAAGGCGAUGAUCCGUAGCUGGUCUGAGAGGAUGAUCAGCCACACUGGGACUGAGACACGGCCCAGACUCCUACGGGAGGCAGCAGUGGGGAAUAUUGGACAAUGGGCGCAAGCCUGAUCCAGCAAUGCCGCGUGAGUGAUGAAGGCCUUAGGGUUGUAAAGCUCUUUCGCACGCGACGAUGAUGACGGUAGCGUGAGAAGAAGCCCGCUAACUCGUGCCAGCAGCCGCGGUAA